rnacentral:rRNA from 1 species
AGAGCGAACGCUGGCGGCAGGCUUAACACAUGCAAGUCGAGCGGGCGUAGCAAUACGUCAGCGGCAGACGGGUGAGUAACGCGUGGGAACAUACCUUUUGGUUCGGAACAACCCAGGGAAACUUGGGCUAAUACCGGAUAAGCCCUUACGGGGAAAGAUUUAUCGCCGAAAGAUUGGCCAGCGUCUGAUUAGCUAGUUGGUGAGGUAACGGCUCACCAAGGCGACGAUCAGUAGCUGGUCUGAGAGGAUGAUCAGCCACAUUGGGACUGAGACACGGCCCAAACUCCUACGGGAGGCAGCAGUGGGGAAUAUUGGACAAUGGGCGCAAGCCUGAUCCAGCCAUGCCGCGUGAGUGAUGAAGGCCCUAGGGUUGUAAAGCUCUUUUGUGCGGGAAGAUAAUGACGGUACCGCAAGAAUAAGCCCCGGCUAACUUCGCGCCAGCAGCCGC